AGGGUGCAGGGCGGAUGCCUUGGCACUAGGAGCCGAUGAAGGACGUGAUAAGCUGCGAUAAGCUUCGGGGAGUUGCACGUAAACUUUGAUCCGAAGAUUUCCGAAUGAGGAAACUCACUUAGAGUAAUGUCUAAGUAUCAUUAAGUGAAUACAUAGCUUAAUGAGGGGAACUCAGGGAACUGAAACAUCUAAGUACCUGAAGGAAGAGAAAGAAAUUCGAUUCCGUAAGUAGCGGCGAGCGAACGCGGAUUAGCCCAAACCAAUAAAGUUUUCUUUAUUGGGGUUGCGGACAUAUCAUAACGAAGAGGUAUCGUAAUUGAAGAGGUUUGGAAAGACCCACCACAGAAGGUAAUAGUCCUGUAUGUUAAACGAGAAGACUUCAGAUAUGAUCCAGAGUACCACGGGACACGUGAAACCCUGUGGGAAGCAGGAGGGACCACCCUCCAAGGCUAAAUACUACCUAGUGACCGAUAGCGUAUAGUACCGUGAGGGAAAGGUGAAAAGAACCCCGGGAGGGGAGUGAAAUAGAACCUGAAACCCUGCACUUACAAGCUGUGGAAGCACAUUUCUUGUGUGACCGCGUACUUUUUGUAGAACGGGCCAACGAGUUACGUUAAGUAGCAAGGUUAAGCACUUAAGGUGCGGAGCCGUAGCGAAAGCGAGUUUUAACUGAGCGUUCAGUUACUUGACGUAGACCCGAAACCGGGCGACCUACCCAUGAGCAGGAUGAAGCGAAAGUAAAAUUUCGUGGAGGUCCGAACCCACGAGCGUUGAAAAGCUCGGGGAUGACUUGUGGGUAGCGGUGAAAUUCCAAUCGAGCCCGGAGAUAGCUGGUUCUCCCCGAAAUAGCUUUAGGGCUAGCCUCAAGGUGAGAGAUACGGAGGUAGAGCACUGAAUGUCCUAGGGGGUAUUGCACCUACCGAAGACUAUCAAACUCCGAAUGCCGUCAUCUUAUACUUGGGAGUCAGACUGUGGGUGAUAAGAUUCAUAGUCGAAAGGGCAACAGCCCAGAUCGUCAGCUAAGGUCCCUAAAUGUAAGUUAAGUGGUAAAGGAUGUGGGAUUGCACAGACAACCAGGAUGUUGGCUUAGAAGCAGCCACUCAUUCAAAGAGUGCGUAAUAGCUCACUGGUCGAGUGAUCCUGCGCCGAAGAUUUCCGGGGCUAAAACUUACUACCGAAGCUACGGCAUCAGUAAUGAUGGGUAGGGGAGCUUCCCAUACGGGUUGAAGCAUGACCGUAAGGACAUGUGGACAGUAUGGGAGUGAGAAUGUUGGCAUGAGUAGCGAGAUGUGGGUGAGAAUCCCACAGGCCGUAAACCCAAGGUUUCCAGGGGAAGGUUCGUCCGCCCUGGGUUAGUCGGGACCUAAGCUGAGGCCGAAAGGCGUAGGUGAUGGACAACAGGUUGAUAUUCCUGUACUACCGAUAACCGUUUGAGAGAAGGGAUGACACAGUAGGAUAAGCUAAGCACACUGUUGGUUAUGUGUGCCCAAGCAUUGAGGCAGUCAAAGUAGGCAAAUCCGCUUUGAUAAUGCUGGGAUGUGAUGGGGAGCGAAAUUUAGUAGCGAAGUAGCUGAUUUCACACUGUCAAGAAAAGUCUCUAUCGAGGUUAAAGGUACCCGUACCGCAAACCGACACAGGUGGGUGAGGAGAGUAUCCUAAGGCCAGCGAGAGAACUGUUGUUAAGGAACUCGGCAAAAUGACCCCGUAACUUAGGGAUAAGGGGUGCCACCAUCAGGUGGCCGCAGAGAAUAGGCCCAAGCGACUGUUUACCAAAAACAUAGGUUUCUGCUAAGUCGCAAGACGAUGUAUAGGAGCUGACGCCUGCCCGGUGCUGGAAGGUUAAGGGGAUCUGUUAGAGCAAUCGAAGCAGUGAACUUAAGCCCCAGUAAACGGCGGCCGUAACUAUAACGGUCCUAAGGUAGCGAAAUUCCUUGUCGGGUAAGUUCCGACCCGCACGAAAGGCGUAACGAUUUGGGCACUGUCUCAACAACAGACUCGGUGAAAUUGUAAUUCCGGUGAAGAUGCCGGAUACCUGCGACAGGACGGAAAGACCCCAUGGAGCUUUACUGUAGCUUGACAUUGGGUUUUGGUACUACAUGUACAGGAUAGGUGGGAGGCUUUGAAACCAGGACGCCAGUUUUGGCGGAGCCAUCCUUGGGAUACCACCCUUGUAGUACUGGGACUCUAACCAUAGGCCAUGAAUCUGGUCUUGGGACACUGUCAGGUGGGCAGUUUGACUGGGGCGGUCGCCUCCCAAAAGGUAACGGAGGCGCUCAAAGGUUCUCUCAGUACGGUCGGAAAU
rnacentral:rRNA from 1 species